rnacentral:rRNA from 1 species
GUGCCAGCAGCCGCGGUAAUACGUAGGUGGCAAGCGUUGUCCGGAUUUAUUGGGCGUAAAGCGAGCGCAGGCGGUUUCUUAAGUCUGAUGUGAAAGCCCCCGGCUCAACCGGGGAGGGUCAUUGGAAACUGGGGAACUUGAGUGCAGAAGAGGAGAGUGGAAUUCCAUGUGUAGCGGUGAAAUGCGUAGAUAUAUGGAGAACACCAGUGGCGAAGGCGCUCUCUGGUCUGUAACUGACGCUGAGGCUCGAAAGCGUGGGGAGACAAACAGGAUUAGAUACCCUGGUA